UUUAAAUUUGAAUAAAUAACCAUUUCUUUUUCUAAAUUUAAAUAAAUAACCUUCUUUUUUCUAAAUUUGAAAUAAUGACCCCCUUUUUUUUUGUGUGCUGGUGGUGUUACCACAGGUUUGUGUAUGCGUCUAGUGUGGUUGGGAGUCAUAGACUCUUACACUGCCGCUGGAUAGCUUAUAUUCAUAGGUGAAAAGAAAGCUGAGUGCGUAAGUCUUUCCUUCCAGUACAUAGCCUCUACACUAACAAGACUUCUACAGUGCCUCCCCGUGACAGCACAUGGUAACUAGGAUCUAGUGUCCUAGGCUUAACUGUAGAGGAUCUCGGAGUAGCAAGGACCCUAGAGAUGAAGUGUGUAGGCCGAUCUACGUGCGGACAUCCCUAGCACUCAUCAACCUUGCCCCAGUUAUGGGUUAAAUAGCCGGCUGAAUGAUGGCCAUCAGCCUUGAAAGGAUGUCUAGGAGAAGAAACUCUGAUAUGAAAUUUUUGGUAGAUUUGACUCGUCAGCCUUGGUCUGCAAUUGAUCUAAAGGAAAUAAAGCAUGAGUAAAGAUUCUCUGGUUCUCCAGGUUUGGGAUUGAGAGAUAUGCCAACAACCUAUCCUUGUAAAAAGGAAGAAUGAUUAUAUACUGAUUAAUCUCCCAGAACAUCACAACCGGGUCUGCAUGAAGCUUUCACAUUCAAAAGACAAGUUAUCCUGGAUAUUUUGAAAACACGUAAAUGAUUUACUGAAGGAAAAUCAAAGGAAAGUAGGACCUGGAUGUAAAAUAAUACCAACUUUAAGACAAAGCGUGCUUGUUAAUUUAGAAAUCAACUGAAGCAGAAGAACGGAUUCUGUUGAUCUGAGGAACUUGGAAACACUUAUUGACAAAAAAAAUAUGUAGUAAUACAAUUAUGUUUAAAGACAGAGAUAGAAAGAGGGGGGAGAGCAAGUUGUAAAGAUUUAUUCUUUUAAACCAGAUAUGUUGAUUACAUUUGAAUUUCAUAGGCCUACAGUUCCCCCCUAAAUGGUCUUAGUUAAUACAUGUACUAGGUGUUUAAUGUAAGACUUUGAUGUGACUUGUGAGAACAAUCAGCUGCCAUUGGUUUAAAUCUAUUUUUAUGCCCUUUCAGUUGGGGGGGGGGGGGCAUAUUGUUUUACUCCUGCCCUUACGCUCUACCAUCCUAUUGUAGGUAUAUAGAUAUAAGAAGAUGUGAAAUUGGUGACAAUGAGACAACUCUCCAUUCAAUUCACAGCUAUUCCAGAUAACUACUCCUAGAGUUUAAUGAGUUAUCUCCCAUAUUUGUAGGUACUUUUUGUCUCGCCUUGACAGAGUCAAAAAGCAAGACAUAGGUAUGCUGUUUCCGGCGGCGGCAAUGGUGUCAACAAUGUAUUAGUUUGUGAUUAGGUCUAGUUUAUGGUGAACCACAAGUGGUAUGUCAAUCAUAUUUGGUAUGCAGUUGUAUAAGCAUUGGCACAUCUAAUUUCCAUCGAGAUUAUUUGGCCCUGCCCCCUCAGUCAUGGUCUAUUGACUUCGAAACUUUUGCUUAUUUUACAUGUAUUAGUUUGUGAUUAGGUCAGUUUAUGGGGAACAACAAGUGGUAGGUCAGUGAUAUUUGGUAUGCAGUUGUUUAAGCAUUGCCAUAUCUCAUUUCCAUGGAGAUAAUUUGGCUCCGCCCCCUUAGUCAUGGUCUAUUGACUUUGAAAAUUUUUCUUAGUUAUCAUGUAUUAGUUUGUGAUUAGGUCAGUUCAAGGGGAACGAUUAGUGGUAGGCCAAUGUUAAUUGGUAAUCAGUUGUAUAAGCAUUGGCACAUCUCAUUUCCAUGGAGAAUUUUUUUGGCCUCAUCCCUCAGUCACAGUCUAAUGACUUUGAAACUUAUCUUAGUUUAUAUGUAUUAGUUUGUGAUUAGAUCAGUUUAAGAUGAACUGCUAAUGUUAUUAAGUCAAUGAUAUUUGGUAUGCAAAUUUAUUGGCAUUUGCAAGUAUUGUUUCCAUGGAGAUUAUAUAGCCCCAACCCCUCUUCAUGGUUCAUUGACUUUGAAACUUUUACAUAGUUUACAAGUUAAUAAUUUGUAUUUAGGUUUGGGAACGACUUAUAAUAAGUCAAUGGUAUUUGGUAUGCAGUUGUAUUAGCAUUGGCACAUCUCAUUUACAUGGAGAUUGUUUAGCCAUGUAACUCAGUCAUGGUUCAUUGACUUUGAAUAUUUGCAUAACUUGUGUAAGAUGUUAAAGUAUUGCUAUUUUGAUUUCAACAUUUGCAUAAUCAAAAUUACAAAAAGGCGAGACAUAUCUCUGUGAUAACAGUUUAUGAUAUUUCCUGAUAAGGCUAAUGCAAAUAAAGAUUUAAUUUGUUUUUAAAUUUAACAAACUGAGCAUAAGUUGUGAGGAAUGGAAACUAGCAGGCUGAGUUUUAGGGUUAAGGGGAGGGAAUACACUUGUUUAUCUCUUCAUAUGAGCUAGUUUUGUUCACUGCAUGGAAGGCCUGCAAUAAAUUAGAAUGUAUUAGUUUUAUAUAUAAUUGUUAUAUAUUUUUUGUUAGAUAUGCUAUAUAAGAUGUAAAUAAAGUAAGAUGACAGUAAUAUUUAGAGCUCUGUAAAUAAAAUCGGCUUUUAAACAGGUCUAGAUAAUGCAUUAAGUGGAUUGGUCUGACAUUGGGAUUUCAAAUUAUAUUUACGUCGUCAUCAUCUACAAAAGUGCUUCCAUUCUCAAUAUUAUCUGAUAUUAAACGCCCCUUCCUCCCAAUUAUGACUUCAUUUUAAGUUUAAUGAGUUAUCUCCCAUAUUUGUAGGUACUUUUGGUAACAGUAUUUCAUGAUAAGGCUAAUGCAAAUAGGAGACAACUCUUGUUUUUUGUAGAAAAGAAGAUUUAACUUGUUUUUAAAUUUAAUGGUUAAUCCUGUGACUUCGUAAAUUUUUUCUUAGCUUUAAAAUAAUAUUUAAAACCCUGUCCAUGAAAUUGAACAUUGCUCCUCUUGAUUUUAGUAAGUGAUUUCUUUUGCAAUAGUUAAAAAGAAAUGUCAAAUAGUAUUUCAUAAUGCAUUAGAAGGAAUGGUAUAUUUUAUAGAAUGCUAGUAUUGUUUUACUUGUAUGUUUAGUAGUCACAAAAAAUGUAAUAUAUUAUUAUUUGUUUUCCUAUUUACUAUUAUCAAGUGGAAUAAAAUGACCUAAUUUCCCUGUUUGCUAGUUCAUAACGAUUGUAAAGUUGAAAUUUCUGUAACAAUUAAACGCCUAUGAUUCUUCCCUACAAUGUAUGAGUUUUUUUUAAAGCAGGGUGUAUUUUUUUUCAAUAUUGCCAUAUUCUUAUGUUUUAAGUAGCAGUAUUAUAUAAGGUGAUUGCUACAUAAAUCAUUUCUCAUUUUAAUAAAUAACAUUUAUUUGA